UAUCCCUGGCUAUGGGCAAAGAGACACCUGAUUGGUGGUGGUCCUCUUAUAUCAGUCAGGGACAGAGCCAACUUGAAGUCCUUUGUUUAUCCUAGCUUGAUGCCUGGAUUGUGGCCAGAGCUGUUUCAUGCCUAGGGCAUGAAG
rnacentral:snoRNA from 1 species